GCGGUCUGAUGCGGGAGGUGCUACGCCCGGCAUGGUCAUUGGCGGACGGAGCUCUAGAGGCAGCGGUAGCUCGACAUCGACGGCGGCCGGACAUGGAAGAAGGACGCGACCGAACUUAAAGAACGACCGGCGGAGAGAACAUGCUCCAUCCCAUGACCCGCGCCGCUGCUCCAACCACUGCUUCGGCAACUGCUGCUGGUUCAUGUACUUGACCGGGCCACUGCAGCUCCAACCCAUGAAAACAAGGUUGAGAUGAUCUACAUGACAAUCAGGCCUGCCAGUUCAAUUGCGGCGAAGUCAAAGAAUAAGGAGAAAGAAAAAUCAGAGAAGGAGGCAUCAUUGCAGGUGGAGCAAGGAGGAACAAUCAGCAGAUCUAGCAUUUAUUUUGCUCAAGCUACAGGUUAUUGCUAUAAUAAACAGUGUGCCUUCAUUCAACAGGCUAUCAUGGAGCUCUUAUUGGGCAUGGUACAGUAGCCUAUUUAGCAUUUAGUUAUCUGGGUCGAUGCAUUUGAAAAUUGGUAUCCAAAACUGGCUUCAUGUAUUUGCAGUUGCAGCUAGAUGAUAACAAAUUGGAUCCUGCUCAACAACACCCCAUUGUAUAGAGGUUUUUUCACGGCAAGAGCAUUUGUGUAUUUUGAAAUGCUUGGUCAUGACCUGUAUGUGCUAGAGAAAGAAUGGCUUCACAGGUUUACGACAAAACUUUGACAGAUAUUAGUGUAUUGGUUGUCCAUGAAGAUGUUGGCAUUGUUCACAGAAGCUAAAACCAAAAUUAUCCCGUGAUUCCAAAUUGGAUAGGCUGGAAGGUUGGAAAGUGUGAUUGGAUGGUAUCACUCACACCUUGGUUAUGGAUGAUGGUUGGCAUACAUGCUGGAUGACAGUCGGAGGGAGGCAAACUGCAUACUGGAAAACAACCGGAGCAAGGCCACGAGGACUAGGCCAACUGCCAUGGACCACAAUCAGGACACCACCGCCGCCAAGCAGCCACUGACACACGCUGAAGCAUCUCUGCAGUACACUGCAAUUGCCUGCGAAGCAUGAGAUAUUUGAGCUAACAAAUGGUUAAUUGGUUUCAGCGCAUAGGGUGGCCAUUGGUGAGGGCAUACAGGAACAGGAGGAACACCUUCCAUGCAGCAGUAGCAGCCAAGAAGGCUGAGAAGCUAUUUCUGAAGGUUUUGCCAAGUUGAUGAGAUUUGGAGACAUGAGCUCUAUAAGAACUCUGUAGGAACUCAAAGUCCAUGGUUAAGCUGUACUUGCUUCCAGAAAUCUUCAAUCAAUUCAAAAAUCACAUUCGAAGCAAAGCACCAAGGUCAAUUGAUGACUCCCAUCAGAUAAAGUCAAGGUAAACAUCCUACUUUAGGUGAUAUAUAUAUUCUCUUAUAGUUGGCAGAAAUUUUUGAUAUAAAGGAGAUUAACUUGACAGUUUCCCUUCAAUUAACUAAUUCAAAUAUGUGAUGUGAUAUAUAUUCUCUCACUGCCAUCAUUCUCAGAAUAUAUAUGUAGCUCCUGCUAAUCAGGUUAAUGUAUAUAUCAAGGAUCUGUGAAGAUAUAUGUAACUCUUGCUAAUCAGAAUAUUGUAUAUAACAAGAAGAUAACCUUUCAUGUGA